UUGGGCUCUGAGAGGAGGAGCCCGGAGAUGGGCACUGAGACAAGGGCCCAGGUCCUAUGGGGCGCAGCAGGCGCGAAACCUCCGCAAUGGGCGAAAGCCCGACGGGGUUAGUCCGAGUGGCCCCUGCUGAAGGGGCCUUUUGCCAGCUGUAAAAAGGCUGGAGAAUAAGGGGUGGGCAAGUUUGGUGUCAGCCGCCGCGGUAAUACCAGCACCCCGAGUGGUCGGGACGAUUAUUGGGCCUAAAGCAUCCGUAGCCGGCUUAGCAAGUCUUCCGUUAAAUCCAACGGCUUAACCGUUGGGCUGCGGAGGAUACUGCUAAGCUAGGGGGCGGGAGAGGCGAGGGGUAUUCCCAGGGUAGGGGUAAAAUCCGUUGAUCCUGGGAGGACCACCAGUGGCGAAGGCGCCUCGCUAGAACGCGCCCGACGGUGAGGGAUGAAAGCUGGGGGAGCGAACCGGAUUAGAUACCCGGGUAGUCCCAGCCGUAAACGAUGUAGGCUCGAUGUUGGGUUACCCAAGUGGUAGCCCAGUGUCGCAGGGAAGCCGUUAAGCCUACCGCCUGGGGAGUACGGCCGCAAGGCUGAAACUUAAAGGAAUUGGCGGGGGAGCACCACAAGGGGUGAAGCCUGCGGUUUAAUUGGAGUCAACGCCGGGAACCUUACCAGGGUGACAGCAGGAUGAAGGUCAAGCUAAAGACUUUACCAGACAAGCUGA
rnacentral:rRNA from 1 species